rnacentral:rRNA from 1 species
AUUGAACGCUGGCGGGAUGCUUUACGUACAAGUCGAACUGGCAGCACGGACUUCGGUCUGGUGGCGAGGUGGCGAACAGGUGAGUAAUGGCCGGAACGUGCCUAGUAGGCGAAAGGGGAUAACUACGCGAAAGCGUAGCUAAUACGCCGCCAGCGGGGAAAACAGGGGACCUUCGGGCCUCGCACUAUUAGAGCAGCCGAUAUCGGAUUAGCUAGUUGGUGGGGUAACGGCUCACCAGAGCGACGAUCCGUAGCUGGUUUGAAGGACGACCAGCCACACUGGGACUGGUUACGGCCCAGACUCCUACGGGGAGAGCAGCAGUGGGGAAUUUUUGGACAAUGGGGAAACCCUGAUCCAGCCAUCCACGUUACGAUGAGGCCUUCGGGUUGUAAAACACUUUUGGCGGAAAAGAAACGGCACGGGAUAUUGCGUGCAACUGACAGUACCUGCAAGAGAUAAACACCGGCUAACUACGUGCCAGCAACCGCGGUAAUACGUAGAGGUGCAAGCGUUUAAUCGAAUUACUGGGCGUAAAAGCGUGCGCAGGCGGUUCGGAAAGAAGAUGUAGGAAAUCGAAGCUUAACUUUGGAACUCAUUUUUAACUACCGAGCUAAGUGUGUCAGAGGAGAGGUGGAAUUCACGUGUAGCAGUGAAGUGCCCGUAGAUAUGCGGAGGAACACCGAUGGCGAGCCCGCUCCUGGGAUAUACUGCGGCGCUCAUGCACGAAAGCGUGGGGAGCAAACAAGUUGGAUACCCUGGUAGUCCACGCCUAAACGUGUCCAGCUAGCUGUUGGGGCCUUCAGACGCCAAGUGGCCCGCAGCUAACGCGUGAAGUUGACCGCCUGGAAGCGCGGUCGCAAGAUUAAAACUCAAAGGAAUUGAGCGGGACCCGCACAAGCGGUGGAUGAUGUGGAUUAAUUCGAUGCAACGCGAAAAACCUUACCUACCCAUGACAUGUCUGGAAUCCCGAAAGAAGAGAUUUGGGAGUGCUCGCAAGAGAGAACCGGAACACAGGUGCUGCAUAGCUGUCGUCAGCUCGUGUCGUGAGAUGUUGGGUUAAGUCCCGCAACGAGCGCAACCCUUGUCAUUGGUUCACGAGGCACUCUAAUGAGACUGCCGGUGACAAACCGGAGGAAGGUGAGGAUGACGUCAAAGUCCUCAUGGCCCUUAUGGGUAGGGCUUCACGUCAUACAAUGGUCGGAACAGAGGGGUCGCCAACCCGCGAGGGGGAAUAUUAAUCCAAGAAACCCGAUCGUAGUCGGAUCGCAGUCACUGCAACUCGACUGCGUGAAGUCGGAGAUCGCUGGUAAUCGCGGAUCAGCAUGUCGCGGUGAAUACGUUCCGGGUCUUGUACACACCGCCCGUCACACCAUGGGAGUGGGUUUUACCAAGUAGUUAGCUAACCGUAAGGAGGGCGAUUACCACGGUAGGAUUCAUGAGCUGGGGUGAAGUCGUAACAAGGUAG